AGUGAACGCUGGCGGUAGGCCUAACACAUGCAAGUCGAACGGCAGCACAGUAAGAGCUUGCUCUUACGGGUGGCGAGUGGCGGACGGGUGAGGAAUACAUCGGAAUCUACUUUUUCGUGGGGGAUAACGUAGGGAAACUUACGCUAAUACCGCAUACGACCUACGGGUGAAAGCAGGGGAUCUUCGGACCUUGCGCGAUUGAAUGAGCCGAUGUCGGAUUAGCUAGUUGGCGGGGUAAAGGCCCACCAAGGCGACGAUCCGUAGCUGGUCUGAGAGGAUGAUCAGCCACACUGGAACUGAGACACGGUCCAGACCCCUACGGGAGGCAGCAGUGUGGAAUAUUGGACAAUGGGCGCAAGCCUGAUCCAGCCAUACCGCGUGGGUGAAGAAGGCCUUCGGGUUGUAAAGCCCUUUUGUUGGGAAAGAAAAGCAGCAGGUUAAUACCCCGCUGUUCUGACGGUACCCAAAGAAUAAGCACCGGCUAACUUCGUG
rnacentral:rRNA from 1 species